rnacentral:pre_miRNA from 1 species
GUAGUAUUCCCUCCAUCCCAAAAUUCUUGUCUUACAUUUGUUUAGAUACAGAUGUAUCUAACACUAAAAUGUAACUAGAUACAUCCGUAUUUAGACAAAUUUAAGAAAAGAAUUUUGGGACGGAGGGAGUACAAA